CAAAUUUGUUGUUUUGUUCAUACUUCGUACGAAGGCAUGCGGCAGCUGCUGCUGUUGUUGCUGUGUGGAAGCGACAUUAAGAAGAUCUCAACGCAAGUCCUUAUGAUGUAAGGCAACACUUGGGCAGCCAACCAAGAAGCGAGGCAAACACAACAAACUGGGCAUUUGAAGCGCCAACUGGCACAACAAAAGCCAACUGAAUAGGCAGAGUAGUUGGUAACAGCACUUGGGAGCAGGCACGCACA